rnacentral:lncRNA from 1 species
CCUGAAAGUUGCAGUUGGUAUGGUUUGAGCGACUAAUAAGCUGGACUCUCUCCAUCCUCAAAAUUUUCCUUCACGUUCUCGCUUCCAAGCCGAGAUUCCAAGACCCAUCUUCGUCUCUGCCCGUGUUUCUUCCAUUUUGAUUGAGAACCCAAUUGCUACUUGCGCGCCAUUUUUACUUCAUGAACAAACACCAGUUCUGCAACGCAUCAGGAUUUUCAAAAAUGAGAAUUUGAAAUUGUUUUCAUCUACCUGUUUUCUACCCACAUCAGUUACACUACACGUUAUUCUGCCAUUUUCAACUGGAGUUUCAGUCAUGGCUGCCGGGUACUUUUUUAUUCCUUCUCCAUUUCUCUUCAUUUGUUUCGUCGUCCAGGUGUUCGUUAAUUAUUUGUUCAGGUUUGGUUUCAGAAGAAAAUUGCAAGAAGAUUUUUCGUAUUUAUUUACAGUGUCCUUCUGUAUGGUGGUCUUGGUUUCACGCGGGCAUUGAGUUGGUUUAUGUAUAUGUUAAAUCUGUAUACGCUGACUGCUCCUUCUUUUCUGGGCUCUGGAGGAUCCUGUGCUUGUUUUUCCAUCCGAAUUGAUGUUCUACUUUUCAUGAUGUUUUUACUGCUGAAAUGUCCUGUUGUGAUAUUCUCUUUUAGGGCCUUUUGGGAUUUUAAUAUGAUACUUACAAUGAUGACUUUAUAUGACAUAUAAAUUUAUUUUGAGGUGAUUUAAUGAAUCUGAUAGCUAAAUAAACUACCAUUCAUCUCAUCCUUAGUUCAUAUUGAUUUUCUGGGUAACUUCUUUUUGCAUAUUCCUUUGUAACUUAAACAAAGAGCUCAAUAGCUUUCCAACUUUAUAUACAAAUAAUUUUUAAUUGUUUGGAUCUGCAAUUUUUACCUGUAAGGCGUUGAGAGAACAUGCUUUUUAAUUACUUUUUACUUAAUCCUUAUUAACCUUCUAUGUUAGGAUCAAAUCAAUUUUUAUAAAAACUACUGGAGUUAAUAGUAGUGUUUAUUACAGUGAGGUUGUUGUUUCCUCCUGGUGUAGUAUUGUGGCAAUUGUUCUUAUACUGGAUUUUUUAGAGAGAGUGUCUGUGUGUGUGUGAGAGAGAGAGAGAGAGUAAUAAAUUUCAUCAACUAUCUUUUUAUAUGAUAUAGGAGGUCAUAAGAUUUUCGUAAUGGCCACCUUCUUAAUCAACUUGACAAAAAAUUUUGUUUAUUAAUGAAGUAGCAUAUGGAGGCCACUGAUUCUCUUUAGUCCUGAUAAAACACAAGGAGAUGGUGAAACUCAAAGCUCCCCUAACUUUAUUAUGUUCUUCUUGCCUUUAUCCAUCUCAGUUGAUGCUACAAAACAUAAAAGGAAAAUAACAAUGUCAAUCAGUCUCCAAUAUUUUUGAAGCAUGUGUGUAUCUGUGUGCACGUGUAGAGGUGUAUAAAUAAGUAGUUGAACUCACUUUUGACAGUUGGUGUUCUUUGAGAUAGGAAUAUUCAUUUGAACACCGCACUUUGUAGGGAGAGAAGAGGCUGCAUCUUCCUUGAUAUUGGGAUAGCGAGCAGCAGCCUCCUUAACACAGUUGCAGGCAGCUUGGCGGUCAGCAGUGGUAGGCGUGAUGGCCUUGAGAUUUUUGACACCAUCACAACAUGCUGCAGCAGGUGUACCUCCUGCUGUUAGAUAGGGAAUGCAUGCAGCCAAUGAUGCAUUGACUUGGGCACAAGUCACAGCCCCCUCUCCUGGCUUAACCAAAAGCUGAGCCAUCACUAUCACUACCAACAUUGAUACCAUUGCACCCUUCAUUUUUUUUUGGUACUUUACUUUGAACUGGGAGCCACUGGUCACUACUAGCUGCCUCUUUUAGUUUAGUUGUGUUUUGAAGUGAAAUGGCAGGGUGUGUGUGUAUAUAUAAGCAUGUCAGAGCUGAAGAAAGUUAGAAGUUGUGGGUCAAGCCAUAACAAUAGCGGUUAUUCAGUUUUGUCAUCUUCAUUGAGUUGCAACAUCUCUUGGUUAGCUAAAGCAGCCUAAAAUAGUAAAUGGGGAUAAGCUUCUGAAUCAUAUUUUCUUUCUCUUUAUGCACUUUUCUUUUGAUCUUACCUGGCUUGGCUAAAGGCUUAUACCAUAAUUGCUGCGUGCAUUAUAAUUUAUUUUGCAGCAACUAGGAAUGCAGUUCAAGGUAUUGAAGGUGCAUAGAACAAAAGAUAAUCACGUUUUAGAUAUUAAGUAAAUUACUAACAGUUCAUUUGUCAUAUCCACUAGUAGUAUAGUCUGCAAGCUUUUUUUUUUUUUUUUUUUUUUCAAAUUGAGUACAUGCUUUGUAUGCAACUUAAUUGAGCUGUGUGGUCAACCUUUUGAAAAACUUAAUAAUUGUAAAGGAUGAUUAAUAAAAUUUUGACAGCUUAAAGGUUCAAUAGUGAACAAAAGAAAUNNNNNNNNNNNNNNNNNNNNNNNNNNNNNNNNNNNNNNNNNCAAAAUAAAAUUGACAGAUUUGUGUGUUUUGCAGGAACUUAGUUGGUGUUAAAAAAUAAUAAUAGUAAUAACAAUGUGAAGUACAUCCUGAACUAUUGUAAGCUUCUCUUUUAGGACCUUUUAGGCUUCUGAGGUAAUGUUUAUAAUGAUGGCAUUGGAAAAAAUAUUAGACAGAUUACUUUCCUGAGUUAAUAUACUGAAUCUAACAGUCAAGGAUCGGAAAAUUCAUCUCAUGCUUGAUGCAUAUCAAUUUGGUGAGUGACUUGUUAUUACCUAACCCUCUAUGACAUGAAGAAAGAGGUUAUCAACAACCUCAUUUGCAAUAACGGCGACAUCUAUAAUUGGUCUGCCUCUAAAGCAUGCUAACAUUCACCCACCAUCUUAACCACAACUCUGGCCAAUCUUCUUGUUACGACCUUUGCUAUAAUUCUGCAAACUCCAACCGCCAAAUUGAUUGAUCUAAAAUCUUUAAUGCUGACCACCCCUGCAAGUGGAAUCAAGGCACCUCAUGAAGGAUCCAGUUUGAUAAAACUCAUAAAAAAUGUAACAAUAUUGUUCCUUUGGGUUCCCCAAUCUUCUUGAAAGAAACUGAUAUUGAGAUGAUCUGAUUCUGGGGCUUUAUCUCCCUUGCAACACAUAAGAAUUUCAAGAAUUUUCUCUUCCAAAAAAAUUUUCUCAAGAAAUGAACAAUCCUGCUCAAUAAUUCUAUUGAAACUCCCAUCCAAUGAUGGUCUCCAUGGCUCAACUUCAGUUACAGCUCUUCACCACAAUACCAUCAAUCUUUAGCUCCUCAAUAUAAUUGCAUCUUCUAUUGUUGGUUUAUGCAGCGGUGGAAGAAUCUCAUACGUUUAUCUUCUACCUUGAUCCAUUUGUCUCGAUCUUUGCUUCCAAGUAACUUACCUCUUUAGAAGCAGGUUAGCUGUGAAGCUGGAAUUCUACCUUUUUAGAUGUUCGAUCUUGAAUACUUAAGCCUUGAGAAUCGAGAGAACAUGUUUAGUUAGUUAUUUUUUCCUUAAUCCUUUCUAACAACACUCUUUGAGGACCAAAUCAAGUUUAUAUAUGUAACAGCUGGAGCAAAAGUUAUUGUAGAAUCUAUCUUAUUGUUUUGCUUUAAUCUGUUUUAUCUCCAGUCCUUGUUCAAUUCCUCUCUAGGAACUUUCUAAAGUAGUUUGAUAUGGAGCUGGUGCUAGCAAAUAAAAGUUAGGUUUGAGCUUUUUAGGCUCUCAUUAUGCCCCAGCGAUUGGAGAAUAAAAAAAAAAAAUAGAAAGCAAAAAAAGCAGUAGCAGAAGAGGAAAAAAAAGAGAUAGGAGAAAACAAUAUUAUGGUGUAGGCCUGGGCCCCACAGAGGCGACAAAAUCUAAGCUGAUCUUCUUGAGCAUUUUUAAUUCAUUAGAUUUGAUUAGAUUAUCUAGGUUAGGACUUUCAAAUAAGAUAGAAUAUGAAUAAUUUGAUUUGAUGUCUGAACUAUCUAAAGAUCAUUAAAAUUAAAAAUUUGGUAUGCAUUGUGUUUUUUAUUAUUACAAGUGGACUACGAGUUUAUUAGUGUCUGUCAAAAGGAAAGCUUAUGAUAUGGGGACUACGAGUUUAUUAGUGUCUGUCAAAAGGAAAGCUUAUGAUAUGGCUUACUCAUAAUCAUGUAAAUUGAGGUCGUAGAUUAUUUUCACUCUAGCUGUCAAUGGACUCUUUUUGACGAGCCCUAAACAGUAAUUUCACACAUCUCAAGCCAUAACCUGAUCUGAAAUGCAUGGUUGUGAAAAUGUUGUACUUUUCUCAUGCUCCAAUUCUAAUUUCAAGCUUGAUGCUGUCUAAACAUUUAAUCAUUAUUUUACUAAAUUAUCGAGAUAUUUACCAGAGCCUAGUAAGUCAGACAGCAGAGCAACCCAUUUGGUGUCUUUUAAUGGGUGUUUGAUCAUGAAUAAAAGAACCAAAUUUUGAGCUCAUGAUUUAGAAAAUUUUGUUAGAAAAGUUCCGACUGGUGUAGAUUGCAGCAAUUAGAUCAUAUUAGACUUUUCAAUAUAGUAAGUAUAAAUAAAUAGAUAGAUAGAUAAAUAGAGAGACAAAGAGAGAGAGAAGGGAGAUUAAUAAAUUUCAUCAACUUUUUGGUUGAUGAAUUUUAUUUGAUAACAGAGAGAAUAAGAUUUUGGUAAUGGCCCUCUUUAAACAAAAUAACAAAAAAAUUUAUUUAUGAAGUAACAUAUUUAGGUAUCUGAUUCUCUCUAGUCCUGAUGGCAAAACUCAAGGCUCCCCCAGCUUUAUUAAUUGUGUUCUUCUUCCCUUUAUCCAUCUCAGUUGAUGCUAGCAAAGACAAAAAGACGAAGAACAAUGUUAAUCAAUGUCCAAUUUUUUGAAAGCAUAUAUGCGUGUAAGUACGUGACGAAGAAUGUGUAGAGGUGUAUGACUAAUUAGUUAGACUUACUUUUGACAGUUGGUGUUCUUUGAGAUAGGAAUAUUCAUUUGAACGCCGCACUUGGCAGGGAGAGAAGAG